rnacentral:miRNA from 1 species
CAUUGCACUAGUCUCAGUCUGC